rnacentral:rRNA from 1 species
GACGAACGCUGGCGGCGUGCUUAACACAUGCAAGUCGAACGGAAAGGCCCCCUUGUGGGGUACUCGAGUGGCGAACGGGUGAGUAACACGUGAGUAACCUACCCUUGACUUUGGGAUAACUUCAGGAAACUGGGGCUAAUACCGGAUAGGAGCUCCUGCUGCAUGGUGGGGGUUGGAAAGUUUCGGCGGUUGGGGAUGGACUCGCGGCUUAUCAGCUUGUUGGUGGGGUAGUGGCUCACCAAGGCUUUGACGGGUAGCCGGCCUGAGAGGGUGACCGGCCACAUUGGGCCUGAGAUACGGCCCAGACUCCUACGGGAGGCAGCAGUGGGGUAUAUUGCACAAUGGGCGGAAGCCUGAUGCAGCAACGCCGCGUGCGGGAUGACGGCCUUCGGGUUGUAAACCGCUUUCGCCUGUGACGAAGCGUGAGUGACGGUAAUGGGUAAAGAAGCACCGGCUAACUACGUG